rnacentral:lncRNA from 1 species
CUCUGGAGCGUGACUCUGAAUGGGCAGCUCUGAAAAAGGUGGCAGUUAGUUCCUACAGAUUAUUCCCCUUACAGAUAAGAAUAGAUUUUUCCUUAAGCAUGGUAAUAUUGGUCCUCAAAACCACUAGAUCCUAAAGGAAUACAUGGAUAUAUAUGGCCACUUCAGAAGGGGAAAUGUUUCUGACCCUGUGGUUGCAUGCUCUGCAAGCUCAGGCUGUGUCUGGCUGGCCCCACUGAUCUCCCCCACGAUCCUAGAUUACAAAUUUCUGUGCCUGUCAUAAUCCACAUACUAUCGUUUGUUUCAUGGGUAGUAUUAUUUAUUCUUUAAUACAGGUGGUUGACUGAUGCUAUACAUUUAAAAUGACUAGAUAAAUUAAAAAGAACCAGGUACAUAUUAAUAAUUAUUUUGUGUUGUAUCUAAACUUGUAUAGACUGUUGCACUGCCUGAGCUAACUGCAAUAGCACUGUUUUAGUCAGUAAUUUCCUGAAAGGAUUUGGGACUCUGAAUCUCAAUGGUAAGGAUGAAAGUCUGUGAAAAUGGGAGUUUCACAUACAAUCAGAUUUUUUUUUUUUGUGGUAAAUUUAUGUAAAGCAAAUAUUAUAAACUUCUAUCCAAAGUUUCUUCUUUCUUGUCUGUUAUAGAAGGAAAUAGCUACAGAAUUCAAUGCACUUAUACACUUAAAAAUUUGGAGAUGGGAAUCCAAUUUAUUAUCCAUGCAGAAAUUUUGUUCCCAAUUUUCUGUUUUUGAUCAUGUCCAAAGCUCUUCCACUCGAUUUGUGACUGAUAUCUUCAUUAAGCUCAAGAGUGCAAUAGUAAGAGAGACUGCUGCCUUAAAAGGUUCCUUGGCACUGUUUUUUCCAUGCAUGGAAGGACAUCUGGUAUGACCAUUGGAAAAGAAAGCAAGCGUGCUUUGCUCUGGGUGGCCUCAUCCUUACUGCCUUUGAACUGCUUUCUACAGGUUUUGGUGGCAAAACAGUACCAGCUGAUGAUGAUAUGGCAUGACAUGGAUGCCCACUGGACACGGGCUGCAUCAGAUGGCUUAUUUCACGUGGUGUAUCAGUUAUGCUCCAGCUCUGGACUUACUGUUCUCCACGGAUUGAACACAGAGAGGAUUCAGACUCUAACACCAACAGAGCAUACCUUUCCUUGUCUCUGGAUGUCAGUCUGACAGCAGAAUAACUUUAGGAGUGUUAACGUGAUGUCACUGAGUUUGAACAGCAGCAAAGCUGAGACCCAAAGACAGAAAUAUGCAGUCUGUCUCAGGACGUGCUGAGACAUUCCCCUGCAGCUGUAUGAGCUAUCAGCUCAUCUCACUCUUUCACCAGAGACAACCUCUGAGAGGUAACUUUGCCUUCAGACUUCAGUCGUGUAUCGUCUGCUCUCAGCCAGUGUCAGAAGGCCCAGAGCUCUCUGCCUGUCUUCUGGGAGCAUCGAUCCACUCACCACAGCUCAGCACAACAUAUGAAGCCUUUCCUUCCCUUGCACAUGUGUUCUCUCUCUUUUGAAGGAAAAAAAAAGAAAAAAAAAAAAGAAAAAAAAAAAAAAGCUGUCAGUAUUUCAGAAGCUCUGAGCAGCAGAUCUUUGUGUACUUUAAUCCAUAAAUAAACAUUUCUUCUUUUGAACUUCA